UGGCCAAAUAUAACAGCUUCCACAAAUAUACAAAGGUCAUAAUAUAACAGUACUCCACAAUUGAUAUGGUUUGUAAAAGCUUCCACAAAGAUGUAUACUUGGAUGCUGUCUUCUUCCCCAAGUGUUUGGAUGACGUGUACACUUUUCAUCAAGAGGGCUGGCACUAUGAGCUUAAUGAUCCCUCACAAGACAUAUCUUACAAAGGUUUUUUAUUUACCUUUCUAGAGCUCUUUUCCUCUACUUAAUUAAUAGUGCCUUAGUAUUAUUGAUAUUAUCUUCUUUUCGUUUAUCUGCUACUUCAUGUAUACUCUCACCCAUCCCUCAAGAAUUGUUUAAAAGUCAAAAUUAUUAUGCUAGUACACUGCUAUAGCCAAUAAUCAAAUAAGGCGGCAACCUCCUUGUCAAAGGGGUUACUGGCACCAAUAAGCAUCAACCUCCUCCUUGUCAAAAUUGAACUAGCUUCUUCAAAAGGACAACAUAAACAGAGUACUAAAAAGUAGAUUAGUUGAAAUUUCCAGAAAUAUUUUCUGUUUAUUUCGUAUGAUAUCUACUAAUCAAGUAAAAUUUUGGCUUCUGCAUCCAAUAAACACAAGGUAACCGGAUGAAAAGGUUUGAAUGAUUUGGCUGCAUAUGUAUUCUUGCAAGUUGUUUGAAUGGAGUGGGACAUAGAUGGAAGCUUGUUCAGUAAGAAGGCUGAGUUUGGUUGUUCUCGAGACAGACAGUUAUCAUAUAAAACGAAGCGAAGCUAGUUGUCGGAAGUAGCACUUAGUGACCUCGCCUCCUCCGCAAUAGCAGCCUCAGUU